rnacentral:rRNA from 1 species
UACGUAGGGGGCAAGCGUUGUCCGGAUUCAUUGGGCGUAAAGCGCGUGUAGGCGGCCAGGUAGGUCCGGUGUGAAAACUCGAGGCUCAACCUCGAGAGGUCAUCGGAAACCAUCUGGCUAGAGUCCGGAAGAGGAGAGUGGAAUUCCCGGUGUAGCGGUGAAAUGCGCAGAUAUCGGGAAGAACACCCAUGGCGAAGGCAGCUCUCUGGGACGGUACUGACGCUGAGACGCGAAAGCGUGGGAG